rnacentral:lncRNA from 1 species
ACGUUAAAGAAAGCGCUACUUGGGAGGCAACCCAUGCAAUUCAACAAAGGAAGCCCUAGGAAUCACUCCAAUUCCAGAUUGCGUUCCUAAAACCCUUCACUUUGUUGCUUGUUUUCUAAUCUGCUCAGUUUUGUUAUUUACUUGCUGUUUGUGUGUUUCUUUUUGUUUAGUGUGGUUUUAUGCUUGAAACAUUGAGGACAAUGUUUGAUUUAAGUGUGGGGGGGGGGGGGGGGGGUAACUAAGUGUUUUAGAUGCAAAUUCGUGGGAUUUUAUCACCCUAAACUUGGAGACUUGUUCCUUGCUGUUUUUAAGUGUUUUUUUAAGCAGUUUUGGUGUGUUUUAGUGUGUGUUUGAACAUAAAAAAAUCCGAAAAUCACAUAAAAAUUUGAAAAAUUUGUUUUAAAAACCCAAAAAGAGUUGUUUUUGUGUGUUUGUUUGUGUCUUAGGGUACCUUCCAACACAAUGAUGAGGAUUCGGUUUGUAAUUACAUGGCUGUUAAAGAGAGUGAUUAACAUGGAUGAAAGUUUGAUUUACUCUUUGUUUAUGCUUGGUUGUGGUUAUAACUUAUGAAUUCACAUGCAAUCAUAAAAGAAAAAAAAAUCAGUUUUUGUAACAUGCUUGAAGGAAGGAACUCAAACUAACGCUACAACCUUGUGAGACUUGAGCCUAAACGUUUAUUUGGAGAGUUAAAAUCUGUGCAUUAUUGUUUUCUAAGUCGUUGCAUGAUCUCAUUAUUCCUUGCUUGGUUACUACUUAGAAGGCGUUUCAUCAUUUAGUUCCAAAUGCUAGAACUCAUGCCCAUUUCAUUCAAAGCAUGUUAUUGAUUUGCAUAACACAUAUUCAAGAUGAAGUUGUGUAGUUACCACCACCAAAGCCAAAUUGCCGUAUAUCCCAUAUCAUUUUAUGUUUAAGUUUAACCCCGUUGAGCCUUGUUAGCCUUCAUUCUUUGUUAACCCACGUUAUCCUCACCUAGCCUAGUUUAGGACCAUCCAUACCUUUGUUCUUAAAGCAUAGCAAAGCAUGAUUCAAUUUGAAUUCCUUUUGAUUAAUGUAUGGCAGAAAACAAGUGUGGGGGAAGUGUUCUCAUGUGAAUUAGUGUGCCAUAGGCACGGCAUUAAAAAAAGAAAAAAGAAAAAAAGAAAAGUGUGAAAAGUAUGAAAAAAGAGUUGAAAAGUUGAGAAAAAGAGUUCCAAAGUAUUGUUUGUUGAAGUGAGGGUCCAAAACAAUGAAUUCGACCCUAAGGAGUUGUUUAAGUCUUCCCCUUGUGUGUUAAAGUUAAUUUCUGCAAUUUAAGUGAAUUCUGAGUCUCAAUUUCAUUGCUUUGCUUACCAUCGCUUGAAGAACGUUUGUUUUCCCCUAUCCUUUCCUUGUUAACCAACACCCCAAGCCCCAUUACAACCCUUAACUUCUAUCUUGAGUGUUAUGUGUUUCAAUUUGUGGAGUUUGAAUUUGGUAUGAGCAUAUGGUGUCACUGGUUCUCGCAUCUAAGUAGUAGCAUUCCAUUCAUGAGAUCAUAUCUAAACAUGCUUCUUAACUCUAGAAAUUGCGUUCUUUGUGAAACAUAUAUGUGAGCAUUCGUUUUCAUAUCUACAUCAAUCUUCUCACAUAUGACUAGUGUAGGGUGUGGAGUUAGAAAAUCUGAGUGAAAAUAGAGUGUAUAUCUUGUAAGGAAUUGAGGGAAUUCUCUAAGGCAUGUUACCACAUUCAAAGCAUUGUUUUAAUUGAUUACUUGUGAACUAGUAAGUAGUGGCUUUAAUUAAGUAUGUGCUUAUGAGUAAAGAGAACUCAAAUCUGUGGGGAUAACAAUCUUUAACAUGUCAUGUGCAUUGGAAAUCCCUGAGGCAAAUGUUGGAAGGUUUAGGUUUUGUUUUGGUUAGUUUGUUUCGUUUUGUUUCCUUUCUUUUGUUUGUUUUGCUCGAGGACUAGCAAAAGCUAAGUGUGGGGGAAUUUGACAGGAGCAUAUUUAUGCUACUUAAUUGGCUUGUUCUCGUGCAUUUAAGUUGUGUUUACUUAGCUAUUUUAGUGUUUAAGUCACUUUUGUGUGUUUUCAGGUUCUAAGGCCAAAGUGUGCAAAAAGAAGCAAAUUGGAGCCUUUUGGAGCAAAAGGAAUGGAUGAAUUGAAGUCUUGAAGAAAGUUGGUUUCCUAAUCCAAGAAGAAUUCCUAAUCAACAAAGGAUUCCUAAUUGAAGAAGGAUUCCUACUCAUUUGAGGAUUCCUAGAAGAACAAGGAUUCCUACUCCAACAAGGAUUCCUACUUGAAGUAGGAAAGUUAAGCCAAGGUUUCCUAUUUUGGUUGA